AAGCCAAUGCACUUACUCGGUAUUGAUUCUAUCGAGGUUCAAUUUGCAUUUGCAAUUUCCCAUCUUCCGUCGUGCGUAACGCAAAAUUAAAAGACAGUACAUUUCUGGAUACCCUUGUUCCUCCUACUCUAUCCUUAUUCGUAUAUGUUUAUAUAUGUAUUUCAGUUUGUUAUCGAGUAGAAAAUAAUCGGCAGACUAUCAACCGUCACAGGUAGUACCAAUUGUCAUUUUAAUUUCUCUCGAUAAAUAACGAGCAAAGCAAUUAAUCGCAAAUUCCCUUUGGCAUUUAUUAGUAUACAGACCUGUCACGCCGAGGCUUAUUGAGCAUAUGGUCGAAACAAGUGUACACUUAAAAACCAAGGGAGAUCAAAACAACAUUUUUCUGUAUUACAGUGACAAGCCACAUGGCCGUGAAACAGUAAAAGAAUACGUAAAAUUUGUAAUCAAAUCUGCCAAAUUGAUUCAGUUAAUCUUCAGUGUGAACCACCCUUAUUGAUUCUUGCCGGGAAUUUAGUUAAAUACUUUUAGAAGUUGGUAUAAUUCACUUGUUAGGGACUGUAAGUCCUGGACAAGAUGGCUGAAUAUUUUACAGUCUGAAUCCCUUGCUUUCAGCGGAUGUGUUGAUUGUGAUUUGUAUUGUAGCUAAUUAAGUUGGAUGAAACUCGUGGAUCGUUUGCGUUAGUUCUUUUGAGGUUAAGCGACAAAGACUUGCUACGUGGUAGAAGUUGAUAGAUAUUAUAUUACAAGUCAUUCCACGCUUGUCUUUUUUGAUUCGUCCACUCGAGUAUAGAAUUCCUAAUGGAAUUGUCUGAUACUAGUAAUCAGUCAGGAUUGAAAGAGAAAGGUUUUAGGUGAUUCAGUUUAUCAAAAAGCUGAUUGCUUGGUUGGCUGGUAUGUUUGCGUUUAUUAUGCUCAUGAUCGUUGAUUUUAUGCCCAUAAGUUUACGACGUGGAAAACAAGAUCAACCGCUUGUUCGUAAGUUCGCCGCUUUUCCGAGGCGGUCAGAGCUGGUGGAAUGGUAAAGGGAAAUAAAUAAAGAAAAUAAAAAGUGAAAUGAAGGAGGCUUAAGCAUUGUCUGCAUAGCUCUACCGAUGAAGUGGAGCACUCAGCAUGGGAGAAUGGAACUCGAAUGCAAUUCUCUAUGGGAUCAAUGGGAUCGAGCUUCUGAUUUGCACCGCUAUUCAGAUUAGUGUGAAUUUUGAUUAAAUCGACGAUAACUGAGUAGAAAUCAAUAAACCAGGUGAAAUUUGUCACCGUCGAAAAGAUAACAAUGAUAAUUAAGAAAAAGAUUCUUCGCGCUCGAUUCUCAUAAUAUUUCCUGCCUUGAAAUUUAUUUCUUUUGCAGUCGACCAGCACCUGGAGGCUACUGAUAGUUUCAAAAAAUUAUUUCAAGAGAAAAUCGAUACUGCAUAUACCUGUAGGAGUUCGAUUUUUCAUAAAGGAAGAGCUCGAGAGGAAUAAGUUAAUAUCACAGAACAGACGGCUACUGCAUCAAAAAUAAGCAGUAAAAAGAAAGGGAUACACAAACACCUUCAAUUUACUUGAUGUCGCUCAUAUCCCAUGUCAAAGGGUAUCGAGUUCUUGUUCAACCUCAAAAGAGAAAAUUUAGCGGGAACGACUUGAAGUUCAAGUAUAAAAUGGAUGAUUGAAAACACUCUAAAGAGCCUCCAAGCAAGGUUACCCCUUCCCACUCCUCUAACAAUAAUAAUGGGGAGUCGAUUUGAAAAAUAAUGGGAGAAAAAGGAGAAAAAAAAACAGGGAAUAAGUUAAAAAAGUUUCAUGCUACGAGGAAUCAGAAUCGAGAUAUAAUGAGGCUGCUCCUUUUUAUCCCCAUCAAGAAGAAGAAAUCGCACCGUAAUGAAUAAUGAUUCUUCUUCUUGUUCUUUCUCAAAAUAAUCAUGACCAUCCAGCGAUUAAGAUACCUUGAUAAGAGGAUGAUGUAAACGGAAUGACGACGGGAAAGUUGGAUAAAAAUUCUACAACAAAUCCCCUAGCAGUUUGCAAUUCGUAACAUCAAUUUGAUAUUUGCACAAGCAUGACUCAUCGCCGAUCACUCAUCAUACGCGAAUUCCAUCAUUAUAUAGAGAAAUCUGGGGGUUCUUUACUGUUCAGUGUACUACCGGCGUAUGACGUUCUCCCAGCGGUGCGAGAGAGCUUUUAUAGCCGCCUGGUAACACUGGCUGCCUCACUAUCCUCACGGCGACUCCUACCCUGCUGCCG